rnacentral:rRNA from 1 species
UACGUAGGGGGCAAGCGUUGUCCGGAUUUAUUGGGCGUAAAGAGCGUGUAGGCGGCCAGGGAGGUCCGUUGUGAAAACUCGAGGCUCAACCUCGAGACGCCGAUGGAAACCCCCUGGCUAGAGUCCGGAAGAGGAGAAUGGAAUUCCUGGUGUAGCGGUGAAAUGCGCAGAUAUCAGGAAGAACACCCGUGGCUAAGGCGGUUCUCUAGUACGGUACUGACGCUGAGACGCGAAAGCGUGGGUAGCAAACAGG